rnacentral:lncRNA from 1 species
UAUUUUGGGGGCGUCACAGUUGGUAUCAAAGCUUAGGGAUAUGAUCCCUGGCUGAGAUGUGAGACAAGAAUUAGGAGGGGAGAGACGAAAAAUUCCUUCGCUAGUAUGACCUACCUAAGUUUAUUUGGUAUUUAAUUGGUCGGUCAGAGUAUAGGGAUAAUAUGUGAUAUGUUAAUUAACCCUUGUUUUGUGACAGUAUUUGAAAAUGGCAUCCGAAAAUGUUAAAAUAAACAAUGAAGCACAUGAGACCGUUGAGUUAGCACAGAUUAAUGCCCAAGAUAAUGUGCAACAGGAAGACAAUAAUCCUCAUGUAAACAAUAACACCGAUAAAAUGGUGAACGAUGGAAUGUUCAGAGGCUUAGGAUUGAAGAGAUGAAUCUCCAAGAACUGAUUGUGCGACUUAGGAUUGAAGAGAACAAUCGAGGAUUUAAGAAGAAGAAUGGGAAAACUUUCAUUGAAGCAAAGGCUAAUGUGGUAGAACAAAGGCCAAACAAUAACAACAAAAGGAAGCGCGAAGGUGAAGGUACUUUAAAAACCAAGAAAAAAUUCAAAGGCAAGUGCUUCAACUGUGGCACGCAAGGACAUAAAUCAAAUGAAUGUCGCAGGCCAAAGAAAUUCAAGAAAG